rnacentral:rRNA from 1 species
UGGGGAAUAUUGGACAAUGGGCGAAAGCCUGAUCCAGCCAUGCCGCGUGUGUGAAGAAGGUCUUCGGAUUGUAAAGCACUUUAAGUUGGGAGGAAGGGCAGUAAGCGAAUACCUUGCUGUUUUGACGUUACCGACAGAAUAAGCACCGGCUAACUCUGUGCCAGCAGCCGCGGUAAUACAGAGGGUGCAAGCGUUAAUCGGAAUUACUGGGCGUAAAGCGCGCGUAGGUGGUUCGUUAAGUUGUAUGUGAAAGCCCCGGUCUCAACCUGGGAACUGCAUCCAAAACUGGCGAGCUAGAGUAGGGCAGAGGGUGGUGGAAUUUCCGGUGUAGCGGUGAAAUGCGUAGAUAUAGGAAGGAACACCAGUGGCGAAGGCGACCACCUGGGCUCAUACUGACACUGAGGUGCGAAAGCGUGGGGAGCAAACAGG